AGAAACAGCCAUGUCACCCUGCAGCCCAAGACCGGUUACUCACUGAAGCUAAGCAGGGCUGAGCCUGGUCAGUACCUGGAUGGGAGACCACUAGGGAACACUAGGUUGCUGUUGGAA
rnacentral:rRNA from 1 species